rnacentral:rRNA from 1 species
UGGGGAAUUUUGGACAAUGGGCGAAAGCCUGAUCCAGCAAUGCCGCGUGUGUGAAGAAGGCCUUCGGGUUGUAAAGCACUUUUGUCCGGAAAGAAAUCCUUGGCUCUAAUACAGUCGGGGGAUGACGGUACCGGAAGAAUAAGCACCGGCUAACUACGUGCCAGCAGCCGCGGUAAUACGUAGGGUGCAAGCGUUAAUCGGAAUUACUGGGCGUAAAGCGUGCGCAGGCGGUUUGCUAAGACCGAUGUGAAAUCCCCGGGCUCAACCUGGGAACUGCAUUGGUGACUGGCAGGCUAGAGUAUGGCAGAGGGGGGUAGAAUUCCACGUGUAGCAGUGAAAUGCGUAGAGAUGUGGAGGAAUACCGAUGGCGAAGGCAGCCCCCUGGGCCAAUACUGACGCUCAUGCACGAAAGCGUGGGGAGCAAACAGGAUUAGAUACCCUGGUAGUCCAGCGCCCUAAACGAUGUCAACUAGUUGUUGGGGAUUCAUUUCCUUAGUAACGUAGCUAACGCGUGAAGUUGACCGCCUGGGGAGUACGGUCGCAAGAUUAAAA